rnacentral:rRNA from 1 species
GACGAACGCUGGCGGCGUGCUUAACACAUGCAAGUCGAACGCUGAAGCUUGGUGCUUGCACUGGGGGGAUGAGUGGCGAACGGGUGAGUAAUACGUGAGUAACCUGCCCUUGACUCUGGGAUAAGCCUGGGAAACUGGGUCUAAUACUGGAUACGACAUGUCACCGCAUGGUGGUGUGUGGAAAGGGGUUUAGUGGUUUUGGCUGGGCUCACGGCCUAUCAGCUUGUUGGUGGGGUAAUGGCUCACCAAGGCGACGACGGGUAGCCGGCCUGAGAGGGUGGCCGGCCACCAUGGGACUGAGACACGGCCCAGACUGCUACGGUAGGCAGCAGUGGGGAAUAUUGCAGAAUGGGCGGAAGCCUGAUGCAGCGACGCCGCGUGCGGGAUGACGGCCUUCGGGUUGUAAACCUCUUUCAGAACGGAAGAAGCGAAAGUGACGGUACGUGCAGAAGAAGCGCCGGCUAACUACGUG